GAUAAACGCUGGCGGCGUGCAUGAGACAUGCAAGUCGAACGAAGGAUCGGGCUUGCUCGAUCCUUAGUGGCGGACGGCUGAGUAACGCGUAGGUGACCUACCCCGAAGUGGGGAAUAACUGCCCGAAAGGGUGGCUAAUACCGCAUGUGGUCGCACGUUCAUUCGUGCGAGUAAAGCCGCAAGGCGCUUCGGGAGGGGCCUGCGUCCGAUUAGCUCGUUGGUGGGGUAAUGGCUUACCAAGGCGACGAUCGGUAGGUGGUCUGAGAGGACGAUCACCCAGACUGGGACUGAGACACGGCCCAGACUCCUACGGGAGGCAGCAGUCGGGAAUUUUGCUCAAUGGGGGAAACCCUGAAGCAGCAACGCCGCGUGAGGGAUGAAGGCCUUCGGGUUGUAAACCUCUUUUGUCAGGGACGAUGAUGACGGUACUUGGCGAAUAAGCCACGGCUAACUACGUG
rnacentral:rRNA from 1 species